UGUUAAUAUUAUUUUACUGUGGGCUAAUAAAAUUCGUCGUGUCUUCACAGUCCAGCAACGACACACUUAACAACGAGGAUACACCUUGUAUAUGUUGCGGCAUUAACUCGUCCAUGGCAAUGAACACUUCGAAAGCUGAUACCAAAGAUUGUGUCCUUCAAAUUAAGAAAAGAGAAAUCAAGCAGGUUAUUGAACUUUCAAAAAGUGAUCUCGUUAACAUAAUUGAUCUUCACCUCAUCUCUAGAACUCGUUCCAACAAAAAGCUGUUUGCAAACAUGCAGGUUUCAUUAGUGAGUCCCAUUGGACGAGAAAUUUUAUACACGCUUGACAAAGAACGCUAUAACCGCGUUACAUGGACUUUAAACGCCGGGAGAAAAAACUUCAAUUUACAUGUGAAGGAAAGUCCGAAAAAAUGUAAAAGAGACGUAUACGACUUUGUAACGGCGAAUAUUCUAAAAAAAAUCG